UGUAGAUGUCUGCAGUGAUGGUGUCAAAGCAAUGGUUGAGAAAGUGGCAGGCGCUGUGACACGAAUAGGAAAUGUAGCAAAAAACAGCACCAGUUCUCAUUGUGUUCUUCACAGACAUGCACUGGUAGCUAAAAGUAUCUCAAUAUCACUUAAAACUGUGCUAGACGAAUCGGUCCAGAUUAUUAAUUUUAUAAAAAGCCGACCAUUACAGUCACG